rnacentral:lncRNA from 10 species
UCUUGCUCUGUCACCCAGGCUGGAGUGCAGUAGUGUGAUCUCGACUCACUACAACCUCCAACUCCAGGGUUCAAGAAAUUCUUGUGCCUCAGCCUCCCAAGUAGCUAGAACUACAGGUGUGUGCCACCAUGCCUGGCUGAUUUUUUUUUUUUUUUUUUGUAUUUUUAGUAGAGACAGGGUUUCACCAUGUUGGCCAGGCUGGUCUCAAACUCCUGACCUCAAGUGAUCCACCCACUUAGGCCUUCCAAAAUGCUGGGAUUACAGGCAUGAGUCACCAUGCCCAGCCCACUUCAGAGAUUAUUAAUUACAAAGUAAGAUAACAAAUUUUCAAUGGAAAACUCGAGUAGAUAUUAACAUUAACCACUUAUUAAAUUUAAUAAAACCACUAAUAAUGAAAAUGCUAUUAUAUGGCUCUAUACCUUGCUGGUAUAGAUAGGCUGUAUCAACUAUUUAUUAUGUUGAAUCAUAAGAAUUUGUUUUUAUAGGUCAAAAGUGACCAAAUAUCAGCAGUUUAUAUAGUCUGGGGAAAUUUGGAGACGAAGGUGACAUUCUGAAAAACAACUGGCCUGGACUCUUUUGAAAUGAUAAUAUUAUGAAAGACAAAAAAUAAAGGAAGAGAAGAGACAUCAACACACGGAAAGACAGCAGAAGAAUGCCAUGUUACAAUAGAGGCAAAGAUUGCAGAGAUGUGUCUAAUAACCAAGGAACACACCACGGAUUUUUGGCAACACCAGAAGCUAAGAGAAUAGGAGAGGUUCUCCCCUAGAAUCUCCAGAGAGGGGACGGCCCUACCAACACUUGAUUUUGGACUUCCAGCCUCCGGAACUGUCAUAAAAGGACAUUUAAUUACAUCAACUAGAGUCAUGCAAGAAGAGUGCACUCAUUUUGAAUCUAUAAAUGGAUAUGAGCUAAUUGGUCUAACUGGCUAAGAACCCAGUGCUAUUUAAAGUUACUACUUCUACAAAUCCAAACAGAAACAAGAUGUGGAGGAGUUAAAAGUAGAUGAACUUGUUUACCUGCAAAGAGCAGUUGUUCAUCAUAUGCCUCUUUACUUUUACCUGAGGAUUUUGUGAAAAUGAGGGAAGAGUGUAAAUCAAUGAGAUUCUGAAGACUGCCAAUUACUUUUUCCCUCCAUGAGGAUUUUUAGAGCGUAUUUUGGAGAUAUCGAACAUUUAACCAAAGUACCUUAAUAGAAAAGAGUAAGUAGAUGACAGGACGUGUGACUUGAUUCUAUUAACAUCAUGAAAACAAUAAAAUAAACCCAUUAUUCUCUAUUGUAUUAAGAGCAGUAUUUUAGCACAGACUCAACAACAGCAAUGCAUUAAUAUAGAGAUGUGAUUAAGUCAUUUAGCAUUGAGCUGUAAAACAAGUGUUAACCAAAGAAAGUACAACCAACUAUGAGAUGACUAAAAAGGGAAAAUGCAGUAUUGUCAUAAGACCACUAGAGGGUGAAAUGAGAACCAUAGCCACAAUUUCAUGUGAAAAUAUUUCUGCAAAAGACUUCAUUUAAUCAAUAUAUGACAAUUUAUUACAUUUAAAACCAUUAUUUAUCUUCACAGAAUUUUACUAUAAGAAAAAUAUCCAUACUUAUACUUGAGACAAUUUAUAAACAGAGAUGAGUUGAUGAUUUGAUUUCAGCCAGCUAACC